rnacentral:tRNA from 1 species
GGGUCUUUAGCUCAGUAGUAGAGCGGCAGACUUCGGUUCUGCAGGUCGCGGGUUCAAUCCCCGUAGGACUCU